UACGUAGGGUGCAGGCGUUAAUCGGAAUUACUGGGCGUAAAGCGUGCGCAGGCGUUUGCUAAGACAGGUGUGAAAUCCCCGGGCUUAACCUGGGAACUGCGCUUGUUACUGGCAGGCUUGAGUGUGGCAGAGGGGGGUGGAAUUCCGACGUGUAGCAGUGAAAUGCGUAGAGAUGUGGAGGAAUACCGAUGGCGAAGGCAGCCCCCUGGGAUAACACUGACGCUCAUGCACGAAAGCGGGGGGGAGCAAACAGG
rnacentral:rRNA from 1 species